ACAAACAAAGCCCUGUUUAGGAGGUUCCUUCUGUAGUGGCCAGAUCAUCUUGAGGCAGCAGCGCUGGCUGGACCUGGGAUGCUGUUUGCUUGGGUAAGGCUCACUGACUUCUGCUGCUCAGGAAAUACCCCCAAACCCACCUGUGGACGCUCACCCCAACCCUCACCCUCCCACCCCAAGGCUCUGGGUUGAUGCUUGCACAUUCCUGCAUGAGGACCACCAGCAGGAGAGGGAUUUGCUGCAGGCUGUGGCAGGUUCUUAAUAUCUCCCUUCCCUCCUUUGCUGCACAGCACAGAUCCCCCUUCCAACACAUGCACGAGAGCAGAGCCGAACCGUUCGCACAGAAAACAGAAACUGAAGCUUGGAAAGAAGCAGAGGAGCAGACGAAGGACUGAAUCCUGAGGAUGCGAAGUGCUUUGCAUAUCCCCUGCAGCCAGCCAGCCUCUGGUCCAGCAAAGCAAUGGAAUUUCUUGCAAACAUGCAUUUUUCAGAUCUA
rnacentral:lncRNA from 1 species